UACGUAGGUGACAAGCGUUGUCCGGAUUUACUGGGCGUAAAGAGCGCGCAGGCGGUCGUUCAAGUCGAGUGUGAAAAGCCCCCGGCUCAGCUGGGGAGGUCACUCGAUACUGAUCGACUCGAAGGCAGGAGAGGGUAGUGGGAAUUCCCGUGUAGUGGUGAAAAUGCGUAGAUAUCGGGAGACACCAGUGCGAAGGCGACAUACCGCCUGUCUGAC
rnacentral:rRNA from 1 species